UCUCAUGAUCACUCAUCUCUCUCUCUCUCUCUCUCUCUCUCUCUCACGCACAUCCCCCUUGAAGAUAGGCGAGAGUCUAGGGGGAUAAAGAGAUAAGAGAGAGUAGAGAAACACCCACUUUGAAGAUUUGAAGAUGAUGUGCAAAGGAAGCUUCUUUUUUGAGGGGAAUGUUGUCUGGCUCGAGGACAUUUAAUUCUAUGCAUCCAUCCAUCCAUCCAUUUACAUCUCCAGAUCUGGACUACUUGGAUUAAUUUUGAGUUAGUGUCGUCGGACCAGGCUUCAUUCCCCCCAAUUUCUGCUUCCUCAAGCUUUCUCACCGUCGUGGACUAUACCCUCAUGUCAAGAUCUAGCUUUGAACUUUGGUGAACAUUCUUUUUCUCUUUUCUCUCUUCUCUCUCUCUCUCUAUCUCUCUCUCUCUCUCUCUCUCUCUCUCUCUCUCUCUCUCACUCUCUCCCUCUCCGAUCUCCCUCUGAUCUUCAUCUUCUAGGGUUUGAUGAUGCUGAUUUUCAGCUCUCUCUAAAUGAAUCCAUUUGAAGCAAGCAAGCUAGCAUAAACCGUCUUGAAGAUUUACAAGCAAGAAUAUGUUUCCCUUUCUGCCCUUACAUGAAGAGUAACAUUAAAUGAUUUCUUUUUGCCAGAAACCUUUUUCAGAAAUAAAUUAACAAAAUAAAUCUAAAAUUGCUCUGAUAUUCUUGCUAUAAUUUUAUAUCCAUGUUUCUUCCGGUAAUAAUGAGUUUCUUUGUGGGGAUGUUCUGCAAAAUCCGUUCUUACAGAUGUCGUUUACUUUUCUUACCCAGCCUUGUUAUCACCCAUCUUAAAGCGACUGUUUGGCUUGUAUCAAAUUUCUGGUAAACUUGCUUUGCUCGGUAACGGAGACGAGCAGCUUAAUUUCAUCUGAGUAUUUGGUUUACACAUUCGUUUGAAAUUGCUCCAUAUAUCAUUUGUUGGCCCGUUCAUCUUUCAUGGCAUAGCAAAUAUCUAUAUACAAUACGAUAAUUUUCAGUCUCUCUUUCAGUUUUAAGUAAUCAUUCAUACUUGAAAACUUGAGAACAGUAGAGUCGCAAGCCUCUGCUAAGACUCAUACGGACGUAUGUGAAUGUUGGUGAGGAUGUUUAACGGGAACCCAUUUACGUAAUCUUAAUUUACUUCAUCCUUUUUAAACUCUGAUUUGUUUUAGUAAUUUAGUGUUCCGGGCAGGUUAACAAUCAAUGAAAUUGGUAAUUAAUUCUCUGUUCUUACUUAGAACAAAAUAUUAAGAUCUUCUUGUUUUUUCUUGGGGAUACCUAAGUACUAAUAAUAUUUAGUUGCGAAGGGGGUCAUUAUCAAUCUGUACCAUGUAACCAUAAAAGAUGAAGAAUUUGAGUCUCCUCACUGAUAUACCCAGCUGGAAUUUGCAUAGGUUGGUGAAGUUGCAUGCUCUAACAGGUAAAGUUUCAUUGAAGUAGUCAGGUGUUUCCUAUGUAGCAGAUAUUCUUAAUUGUCAAUAUAAUAAAAGAAAUUAUAGAAUAAAUGGAGAUGCAGAUACUAAUCAUCUCAUAUAUUUCUAUCUCAUCAUACUUUUUCUUUGCACUUUUCUUGAUUAGAUCUCAUGGGAGUUGCCGAAGAAGAAAACUUGUAGAAAGAAGAAAUAAAAAAGUUAGUUGAUUAGAGAGAUUGGCAGAAGAGUUUUCUAGUUCCUCGGAGUAGUAAAGCUCUUAUAAUAAGCUUCUUUCUUUCCUUCUCAAGACACAUUUCAAUAUUUAAUCUUUUGCCCAAAAUGUCAGGAGAAAAGUAAGACAUAGAUACAUCUAGUAUUGCGUGCCUAGCUAUAUUCAUGCUACUGGCUAUCACCCUUAACUAUAAUGUGAUCUUCGAAACUCAGCAAGUUCUUCUACGAAUACAUGAGAGAUUGUGUUCUUUGAGAUCUUCUCAAUUAGUCAAAUAUGGAAAUGUACAUAAAAUAUUUCAUUUUAUUACGUUGGUCAUUAAUUUGAGACAUCUUUUUUACUUCUUAACUUCCAAAUAAGUCACCAUGACAAAAUCUGAAUGGUACAAAUUUUCACUUGGACUCUCUACCCACAACUCUGACCAAAUCACAUAAAGGAUAUCAAAAGCUGGGACUGGAAUCUUGAAAAACGUCACUUCUUUUUCCCCUUCAUAUUAUUAGUUAUUACUUGUAAGAUGUGAAUUGUACCCUGGAGGGGUAAUCUUGCUCGUUUAUACUUUGAAUGUACGUAGUGGGUAGUGUUAUAUAUAUAGUUACAUAUGCAUAUCGUGUUGUCCGGUUUCGCAUCUAAAAGUGAUUCGCGUUGAAAAGAAAGACUAUAAGAGCAACCUUUUGGGAAA